UCCAGCUCCCUGCUGCUAUGCUGCACCUUCCAGGGGAUCUGUGUUGCUGUCCCAGUUCAAAAUGAGUCAUAAAGCAGUGGACACAACUCGCAACAUCAAUAAUGCAUUUGGCCUGGAAACUGCUGACAAAUGGUACAGUGUGGUGGUGGUUCAAGAAGUUUUGUCUAGGAGACGAGAGCCUUGAAGUUGAGGAAUGCAGUGGCCAGCCAUUGGUUGUUGACAGUGACCAAGUGAGAGCCAUCACUGAAGCUGAUCCUGUUACAGCUACACAAGAAAUUGCCCAAGAGCACAACAUCAAUCAUUCUGUGGUCGUUCGGCAUUUGAAGCAAAUUGGAAAGGUGAAAAAGCUCAAUAAGCAGUGCCUUAUGAACUGACCACAAAUCAAAAAACUCGUUUUGAUGUGUUAUCACUUUGUACUCUAUGCAACAGUAAUGAACCAUUUCUAAUCAGUUUGUGAAGUGUAAUGAAAAGUAGAUUUUAUAAGACAACUGCAAUGACCAACUCUGUGGCUGGACUGAGAAGAAGCUCGAAAACACUCCCCAAAGCCAUACUUGAAUCAAAAAAAGGUCGUGGUCACUGUUGGUGGUCUUCUUCUGCUGUGAUUCACCUCAACUUUCUGAAUCCUGGUGAAACCAUUAUAUCUGAGAAGAAUGCUCAGCAAAUCAAUGAGAUGCACCAAAAACUGCAACGCCUGUAGACCACAUUGAUCAAUAGCAGGGGUCCAGUUCUCCAUGACAACCACGUGUCAUGCACAGCCAACGUUUCAGAAGUUGAACGAAUUGGGCUACGAAGUUUUGCUUCAUCUGCCAUAUUCACCAGACCUCUCGCCAACUGAGUACCACUUCUUCAAGCAUCUCAACUUGAUGAAGGGAAGAUGCUUCCACAACCAGCAGGAGGCGAAAGAUGCUUUCCAAGAGUUUGUGGAAUCCUGAAGCACAGAUUUUUACCCUACAGGAGUAAACAAACACUUCUCAUUGGCAAAAAUGUGUUGAUUGCAAUGGUUCCUAUUUUGAUUAAUAGAAGAUGUGUUUGAGCCUAGUUAUAAUAAUGAUUUAAAAUUCAGGAUUUAAAACCAUAAUUACUUUUGCACCAACCUAAAUAUAUUAUUGAAAAUUCAGUGAACAUAACAUUGUAGAUUUGUCCAGUCAAAAUAUUUAUGAAUUUUAACUCACUUGUUUAAUUUAAAUAAAUAAAUGGAAAGUUUGUCAGGUUUUAUUUUUUCUGUCUUGAUAAUUUUUAAUUGCCACCUAUAUUCUCAAAUCCUUUCAGAAUUUGAUUGUACCUCAUAUUAUUACAGUGAGGUGGAUAA